UCAAACUUGGUCAUUUAGAGGAAGUAAAAGUCGUAACAAGGUCUCCGUUGGUGAACCAGCGGAGGGAUCAUUACCGAGUUUUUACAACUCCCAAACCCACUGUGAACCUUUAAACGUUGCUUCGGCGCCGCGUCCCUGCCCCCGGGCUCGGCGCGCGCCGAGGACCCCAAACUCUUGUUUUCAUUAGAGAAUUCUGAGUGGCAUUUUAUGCAAACAAAUGAAUCAAAACUUUCAACAACGGAUCUCUUGGUUCUGGCAUCGAUGAAGAACGCAGC
rnacentral:misc_RNA from 1 species